rnacentral:rRNA from 1 species
AUUCCUAUACUUGAUAGUAGGAGCGAUGGGAGGACGGAGUAGGCUAAACUAGCCAGGUAUUGGUUUCCUGGUUUAAGCAUGUAGGGAGAACACUUAGGCAAAUCCGGGUGUUCAUUAUCCUGAGACGUGAUGACGAUUCCACACUUGUGUGGGAGAAGUAGUUGAUGCCAUGCUUCCAAGAAAAGUCUCUAAGCGAUGAUUACUAUCAAACCGUACCGGAAACCGACACAGGUGGACGCGUAGAGAAUACGGAGGCGCUUGAGAGAACUCGGGUGAAGGAACUAGGCAAAUUAGCACCGUAACUUCGGGAGAAGGUGUGCCCUUGCUAGGUGAAGGACUUCGCAUCUGGAGCUGAGAAGGGUUGCAGUAAUCAGGUGGUUGCGACUGUUUAUUAAAAACACAGCACUCUGCAAACUCGAAAGAGGAAGUAUAGGGUGUGACGCCUGCCCGCUGCCGGAAGGUUAAUUGAUGCUGUCAGAUUCUGCUUGCAGGGUCGAAGCAGUUGAUCGAAGCCCCGGUAAACGGCGGCCGUAACGAUAACGGUCCUAAGGUAGCGAAAUUCCUUGUCGGGUAAGUUCCGACCUGCACGAAAGGCGUAACGAUAGCCACACUGUCUCCACCCGAGACUCAGUGAAGUUGAAAUCGCUGUGAAGAUGCGGUGUACCCGCGGCAAGACGGAAAGACCCCGUGCACCUUUACUAUAGCUUUGCACUGGACUCUGAGCGUGUCUGUGUAGGAUAGGUGGGAGGCUUUGAAGCGUAGGCGCUAGCUUACGUGGAGCCAACCUUGAAAUACCACCCUGACACUCUUGGGGUUCUAACCCAAUCUUCUCAUCGAGGAUGGGGACAGUGUAUGGUGGGUAGUUUGACUGGGGCGGUCUCCUCCCAAAGAGUAACGGAGGAGCACAAAGGUACUCUCAGCGCGGUCGGAAAUCGCGCAUUGUGUGUAAGAGCAUAAGAGUGCUUGACUGCGAGACUGACGGGUCGAGCAGGUGCGAAAGCAGGUUCUAGUGAUCCGGUGGUUCUGUAUGGAAGGGCCAUCGCUCAACGGAUAAAAGGUACGCCGGGGAUAACAGGCUGAUACCGCCCAAGAGUUCAUAUCGACGGCGGUGUUUGGCACCUCGAUGUCGGCUCAUCACAUCCUGGGGCUGUAGCCGGUCCCAAGGGUAUGGCUGUUCGCCAUUUAAAGUGGUACGCGAGCUGGGUUUAGAACGUCGUGAGACAGUUCGGUCCCUAUCUGCCGUGGGCGUUUGAGAUUUGAGGGGAGCUGCUCCUAGUACGAGAGGACCGGAGUGGACGUAUCUCUGGUGUUCCGGUUGUCACGCCAGUGGCACAGCCGGGUAGCUAUAUACGGAAAGGAUAACCGCUGAAUGCAUCUAAGCGGGAAACCUGCCCCAAGAUGAGAUCUCACGAUGUGUAAUCAUCCUAUAGGUCCGUCGAAGACUACGACGUUGAUAGGCUAGGUGUGUAAGUGCAGUAAUGUAUUUAGCUAACUAGUACUAAUUGACCGUGAGGCUUGAUCAU